rnacentral:rRNA from 1 species
CCUACGGGAGGCAGCAGUGAGGAAUAUUGGUCAAUGGACGAGAGGCUGAACCAGCCAAGUAGCGUGAAGGAUGACUGCCCUAUGGGUUGUAAACUUCUUUUAUAUGGGAAUAAAAUGUUCCACGUGUGGGAUUUUGUAUGUACCAUAUGAAUAAGGAACGGCUAACUCCGUGCCAGCAGCCGCGGUAAUACGGAGGAUACGAGCGUUAUCCGGAUUUAUUGGGUUUAAAGGGAGAGUAGGUGGAUUGUUAAGUCAGUUGUGAAAGUUUGCGGCUCAACCGUAAAAUUGCAGUUGAAACUGGCAGUCUUGAGUGCAGUAGAGGUGGGCGGAAUUCGUGGUGUAGCGGUGAAAUGCUUAGAUAUCACGAAGAACUCCGAUUGCGAAGGCAGCUCACUGGACUGCAACUGACACUGAGGCUCGAAAGUGUGGGUAUCAAACAGGAUUAGAUACCCGAGUAGUC